UACGGAGGGUGCGAGCGUUGUUCGGAAUUACUGGGCGUAAAGCGCGUGUAGGCGGCCUUCUAAGUCUGGUGUGAAAGCCCGGGGCUCACCCCCGGAAGUGCAUUGGAUACUGGGAGGCUGGAGUACCGGAGAGGAGGGUGGAAUUCCUGGUGUAGCGGUGAAAUGCGUAGAGAUCGGGAAGAACAUCGGUGGCGAAAGCGCUCUACUGGACGGUAUCUGACACUGAGGGACGAAAGCUAGGGGAGCGAAUGGG
rnacentral:rRNA from 1 species